UUACAAUGGCAGGUACAGAGGGAUGCUACCGGGCGACCGGAUGCGGAUCUCGAAAGCCUGUCCCAGUUCGGACUGGAGUCUGCAACCCGACUCCACGAAGUUGGAUUCGCUAGUAAUCGCGCAUCAGCCAUGGCGCGGUGAAUACGUUCCCGGGCCUUGUACACACCGCCCGUCAAGCCAUGGGAGCCGGGGGCGCCUGAGGUCCGGGACCGCGAGGACCGGCCUAGGGCGAAACUGGUAACUGGGGCUAAGUCGUAACAAGGUACC
rnacentral:rRNA from 1 species